rnacentral:rRNA from 1 species
UACGUAGGGGCUAGCGUUAUCCGGAAUUACUGGGCGUAAAGGGUGCGUAGGUGGUUUCUUAAGUCAGAGGUGAAAGGCUACGGCUCAACCGUAGUAAGCCUUUGAAACUGGGAAACUUGAGUGCAGGAGAGGAGAGUGGAAUUCCUAGUGUAGCGGUGAAAUGCGUAGAUAUUAGGAGGAGCACCAGUUGCGAAGGCGGCUCUCUGGACUGUAACUGACACUGAGGCACGAAAGCGUGGGGAGCAAACAGGAUUAGAUACCCGCGUAGUCCCUGAG